rnacentral:rRNA from 1 species
GUAGGUGGCAAGCGUUGUCCGGAAUUAUUGGGGCGUAAAGCGCGCGCAGGCGGUCCUUUAAGUCUGAUGUGAAAGCCCACGGGCUCAACCGUGGGAGGGUCAUUGGAAACUGGGGGACUUGAGUGCAGAAGAGAAGAGUGGAAUUCCACGUGUAGCGGUGAAAUGCGUAGAGAUGUGGAGGAACACCAGUGGCGAAGGCGACUCUUUGGUCUGUAACUGACGCUGAGGCGCGAAAGCGUGGGGAGCAAACAGGAUUAGAUACCCUGGUAGUCCACGCCGUAAACGAUGAGUGCUAAGUGUUAGAGGGUUUCCGCCCUUUAGUGCUGCAGCAAACGCAUUAAGCACUCCGCCUGGGGAGUACGGCCGCAAAGGCUG